rfam:Streptomyces thermolilacinus SPC6 TNC:Contig_1, whole genome shotgun sequence.
GAUAGGUCGCUGUCGCUAGCGUGAUUGGACACUGACGUACAGUCAACUAGCCUGGUUCAGACCGGGUUCGGGCACACAAGCAGGACGGUCCGAGCCACGAGGGGGGAGGCUCGGACCGUCCGUU